rnacentral:rRNA from 1 species
GACAAACGCUGGCGGCGUGCUUAACACAUGCAAGUCGAACGGAAAGGCCCUGCUUUUGUGGGGUGCUCGAGUGGCGAACGGGUGAGUAACACGUGAGUAACCUGCCCUUGACUUUGGGAUAACUUCAGGAAACUGGGGCUAAUACCGGAUAGGAGCUCCUGCUGCAUGGUGGGGGUUGGAAAGUUUCGGCGGUUGGGGAUGGACUCGCGGCUUAUCAGCUUGUUGGUGGGGUAGUGGCUUACCAAGGCUUUGACGGGUAGCCGGCCUGAGAGGGUGACCGGCCACAUUGGGACUGAGAUACGGCCCAGACUCCUACGGGAGGCAGCAGUGGGGAAUAUUGCACAAUGGGCGGAAGCCUGAUGCAGCAACGCCGCGUGCGGGAUGACGGCCUUCGGGUUGCAAACCGCUUUCGCCUGUGACGAAGCGUGAGUGACGGUAAUGGGUAAAGAAGCACCGGCUAACUACGUG